UGGGGAAUCUUGCGCAAUGGACGAAAGUCUGACGCAGCAACGCCGCGUGAGGGAUGAAGGCUUUCUGAGUUGUAAACCUCUUUCGACAGGAACGAUAAUGACGGUACCUGUAGAAGAAGCACCGGCCAACUAUGUGCCAGCAGCCGCGGUGAUACAUAGGGUGCAAGCGUUAUUCGGAUUUAUUGGGCGUAAAGAGCUCGUAGGCGGUUCGAUUAGUCGGGUGUGAAAUCUCUGGGCUUAACCCAGAGCGGCCACCCGAAACUGUCGUGACUAGAGUUUGGUAGGGGAUCACGGAAUUCCUGGUGUAGCGGUGGAAUGCGCAGAUAUCAGGAGGAACACCAGCAGCGAAGGCGGUGAUCUGGGCCAAUACUGACGCUGAGGAGCGAAAGCGUGGGGAGCGAACAGG
rnacentral:rRNA from 1 species